UACGAAGGUGGCGAAUGAUACUCGGAUUUACUGGGCGUAAAGCGUCCGCAGGUGGUCUAUCAAGUCAGAUGUGAAAUCCCCGUGCUCAACAUGGGAACUGCAUUUGAAACUGAUAAACUAGAAGAUAGGAGAGGUAGGUAGAAUUCUCGGUGUAGAGGUGGAAUUCGUAGAUAUGAUAUAGAACACCAAUUGCGAAGGCAGGUGACUAAGCCAUAACUGACGCUGAUGCACGAAAGCGUGGGGAUCAAACAGG
rnacentral:rRNA from 1 species